rnacentral:rRNA from 1 species
GAUGAACGCUGGCGGCGUGCCUAAUACAUGCAAGUAGAACGCUGAAGGAGGAGCUUGCUCUUCUGGAUGAGUUGCGAACGGGUGAGUAACGCGUAGGUAACCUGCCUGGUAGCGGGGGAUAACUAUUGGAAACGAUAGCUAAUACCGCAUGACAACAGUUAUUGCAUGAUAACUGUUGAAAAGUGGCAACUGCUCCACUACCAGAUGGACCUGCGUUGUAUUAGCUAGUUGGUGAGGUAACGGCUCACCAAGGCGACGAUACAUAGCCGACCUGAGAGGGGGAUCGGCCACACUGGGAGGGAGACACGGCACAGACUCCUACGGGAGGCAGCAGUAGGGCAUCUUCGGCAAUGGACGGAAGUCUGACCGAGCAACGCGGAGUGAGUGAAGAAGAUUUUCGGAUCGUAGAGCUCUGUUGUAAGAGAAGAACGAGUGUGAGAGUGGAAAGAUCACACUGUGACGGUAUCUUACCAGAAAGGGACGGCUAACUACGUG